CCCUGCCGCCCUGCUUUCUUCUGUUCCAGCGCUCCCCGCCACCCUCUGUUAUCGCUGCUGGGUCUACUCCUCGCUCUUCCCCAGUGCUGCACUUUUCGGGAGUUUCACCCCGUCGUUCUCAAGGGUUCAGGCGAGGUGCGGACGCCGGAGGGAAUGGCGGCGGCCGGAGCGAGGAGAUUCUCUUUUGCUUCGUGGAGCGGUGGAGGCCGAGGACGAAGGUGGCGGCGAUUUAUGCAUGGGAGAGCGGCGGGCGGACCUGGCGGCUCAACUUCCAUAGAUUCCACCGCCUGGAGGCGCGCAGGAGAGGUCGGCGCGGGGGCUUCUGGACUCCCUUGGCGUGCUAGGGAGAUGAUUUCUGCUUGACAAAAGAGCCUAUGCACAGGAAUUAAGGCCUAUGCACAAGAUGACCUUUUUGAUGUCAUCACUCAUCACGAACUUCUUGCUACUCAUGUUCAAGGCUGGAUUGGCCAAGUUAGAGCUACCAAUGUAAGGAAGGACCAAAUCGUCUCUAAUUAGCACUAUAUUUACCGCACAAUAUAUUGGAGGGUCGUUUAAAGUAACUGUUGGGGCGAAGGCGAAGAUGCUACCCUUCGCUCCAGGCCUUCGUCGAUCUCGCUGCACCAACGGAGGCAAAACGACCGACGGAGUCCACCCUUCGGCCUCUACACUACAAGACGAAGGACUACGACGAGGUCGUCCCGUCCCACGCCCUCACCCAACCUGUAGGCCCACGUAGGAUUCGGCCCAUUGUAACAGGCCCCGCACGGAGAAGUGUGUUACGGGCCCGAUUUGUAAUGACUUUUCUGUAAUGACAGUCUGUAACCCUCCUUUAUGAGAAUAUUCCGGGGACAGUCCAGGUGCCUGAGGGCACAUGCGUCCUUACAUCAAGACGUUGGACACUCAGGCACCUAUAAAUACCCCCGUACAGUGCCCUUGAGAGGCGGGAUUAA